rnacentral:snRNA from 1 species
CAGCCUCUUGCAGCUUAUUUAUCAAAACUGGAAUAAUGCAAAGAUUAGCAUGACCCCUUCACAAGGGUGGUGCACACUUUGUGAAGUAUUGCAUAAUUAA